UAACAAGGAUUCCCCUAGUAACUGCGAGUGAACCGGGAAAAGCUCAAAUUUAAAAUCUGGCAGUCUUCGGCUGUCCGAGUUGUAAUCUGGAGAAGCGUCUUCCGCGCUGGACCGUGUACAAGUCUCCUGGAACGGAGCGUCAUAGAGGGUGAGAAUCCCGUCUUUGACACGGACUACCAGUGCUCUGUGAUGCGCUCUCAAAGAGUCGAGUUGUUUGGGAAUGCAGCUCAAAAUGGGUGGUAAACUCCAUCUAAAGCUAAAUAUUGGCGAGAGACCGAUAGCGAACAAGUACCGUGAGGGAAAGAUGAAAAGCACUUUGGAAAGAGAGUUAAACAGUACGUGAAAUUGCUGAAAGGGAAACGCUUGAAGUCAGUCGCGUUUGCUAGGACUCAGCCUUGCCUCGGCUUGGUGCAUUUCCUAGUAGACGGGCCAGCAUCACUUUUGACUGCGGGAGAAAGGUUGGAGGAAUGUGGCACCUUCGGGUGUGUUAUAGCCUCUAGCUGUAUACCGUGGUUGGGAGUGAGGAACUCAGCACGCCGCAAGGCGGGGCUUCGGCCACCUUCGUGCUUAGGAUGCUGGCGUAA
rnacentral:rRNA from 1 species